CCCGGCCCCGCCAGCACAGCCCCGGUACAGCCGCCGACCUGCAUCGGCACAGCCCCCGCACUGCCCCGGUACAGCCCCCGCACUGCCCCGGCCCCGCCAGCACUGCCCCGGCACAGCCCCGGCACAGCCCCGGCCCCGCCGGCCCGGCCUGGGCCCCCUCGCGCGGAGACAUCGUCUGUGCAGAGGGGCCUGGGCAUCCUGCUAGACAACGAGCUGUCCGUGAACCAGCUGUCCAAGACCAGUGGUAUACUGGGAUGUAUUAGGAAGAGCAUUAGAGCAUUGCCAGCAGGCUGAAGGAGAUGAUCCUGCCCCUCUACUCAGCCCUGGAAGAUUUCUACACAUGCCAAGGAAUGUUUCAUCAAUCUGCACCACACUGGAUCCACUGCAAGAAUUUUCUGUAAGGAAAUCUAGUUACUGUAAGUGCAAAAUACAAUUUUAAUGUCCCUCCUGUUCCACGUGACUUUCUUCUUGUUGCUCCAGGAAGCUGGAAAGGAUACUACAGUUUUUCUCAUGUUAAUUCUGGCAAUAUUUUAUUUGAAAAAUUUAGUUAACGGAAUCCUGUAAAAUUGAAUGAAAUGAUGGAAAGUGCCUUGUGAUGUUCCUGUGUCACAUAUAUGACUAUUCUGAAAACAGACUACCUAUUGUGUCAAGAUUGGAGAUUUUGAGAUAUUUUCUUGUCAUAUACUCAGAUCUUUAAAAUUUUGAAUAAACUGCUAUUCCAAGAACAACCCAAUAUGGAUAAAGCAGAGAAUUUUACUAUGAUGGGUUUUUUAAAAUAUUUAUUUGAACUUCAGUUUUCAUUAAACUUCAGU